rnacentral:misc_RNA from 1 species
AUUACUUCAAUAUUUCUCAAUUCAUUUUCAAUCAUGACCAAAAUGUUUUCAAAAUUACACCAAGCAUCUGAUAAGGCCAGAAGGAUUCUUUUGGGAGCCAGAAACAACCCGCUUUUUUCUGUGUGUUUCGGGAGCCACGUAAACAUGGUGGAGCAAAGCUCCUUUUCUAAAGUUCAGGCUCUUUACGAACUCUGCACUACCACCUUCACGCCUUUGGGGAUUCCUUCUUCUUCUUCCCCGGCUAUCAGCAAGC